UCUCUUUCACUUUCAUCAAAAGGCUCUUUAGUUUCUCUUCACUUUCUGCCAGAAGGGUGGUGUCAUCUGCACAUCUGAGGUUAUUGAUAUGGAUCAAAAUAAUUCUGGAGAAAAGGAAGACAGAUGGAUCAGACAAACACAGAAGACUUAACUACACUAAGAAGCUAAAUCUACGUUGUUUGUCUCCAAGUUGAGCUUGAGAAGCUGAACUGUUUUAGAGAUGCCCAGAACCUAGCCUCCACCUCUUCACAACACAGGU
ensembl:lncRNA